AAAAUGAUCAAGGAGAGUGUUGGAAAAGAAAUAAUAUUAGAGGACGAGCGUCCCGACGUGGAGAAAGGGAUUGCUGAUUUUGUGAAGCCUGAAAAGCAUGAUGUAGAUACAAAUGAAUCCACGCAAGGUAUGUAAAAAUGAAUUCAAAGUUAAGUUUUACAUCUUUAUAUCCAAAUGAAACAGAUUUUCUACUUCUAAUUGUUGUUAUUUGCAACAUAUAGGGGACGUUGUAGAAAUUGAUGAGGCGGGAUCCGAUCCAUUGAAAUUCAUAACGAGUUCUAAGUCGUUACGCAAAAUCAGAGAAGCAGUG
rnacentral:lncRNA from 1 species